rnacentral:rRNA from 2 species
AGACCCGAAACCCGGUGAUCUAGCCAUGGGCAGGUUGAAGGUUGGGUAACACUAACUGGAGGACCGAACCGACUAAUGUUGAAAAAUUAGCGGAUGACCUGUGGCUGGGGGUGAAAGGCCAAUCAAACCGGGAGAUAGCUGGUUCUCCCCGAAAGCUAUUUAGGUAGCGCCUCGUGAAUUCAUCUCCGGGGGUAGAGCACUGUUUCGGCUAGGGGGCCAUCCCGGCUUACCAACCCGAUGCAAACUGCGAAUACCGGAGAAUGUUAUCACGGGAGACACACGGCGGGUGCUAACGUCCGUCGUGAAGAGGGAAACAACCCAGACCGCCAGCUAAGGUCCCAAAGUCAUGGUUAAGUGGGAAACGAUGUGGGAAGGCCCAGACAGCCAGGAUGUUGGCUUAGAAGCAGCCAUCAUUUAAAGAAAGCGUAAUAGCUCACUGGUCGAGUCGGCCUGCGCGGAAGAUGUAACGGGGCUAAACCAUGCACCGAAGCUGCGGCAGCGAACGUAUCACCCAAGACAACUUUACGGAGUUGACGAUUGACGGAGCGAAGCGACGUCAAAGCGUUCAUUAAAGUCGAGUUGGCUUAGGGAUACGUUCGUUGGGUAGGGGAGCGUUCUGUAAGCCUGUGAAGGUGUGUCGUGAGGCAUGCUGGAGGUAUCAGAAGUGCGAAUGCUGACAUAAGUAACGAUAAAGCGGGUGAAAAGCCCGCUCGCCGGAAGACCAAGGGUUCCUGUCCAACGUUAAUCGGGGCAGGGUGAGUCGACCCCUAAGGCGAGGCCGAAAGGCGUAGUCGAUGGGAAACGGGUUAAUAUUCCCGUACUUGGUGUUACUGCGAAGGGGGGACGGAGAAGGCUAUGUUGGCCGGGCGACGGUUGUCCCGGUUUAAGCGUGUAGGUGUGUGUUCCAGGUAAAUCCGGUUCACUUUAACACUGAGGCGUGACGACGAGGCACUACGGUGCUGAAGCAACAAAUGCCCUGCUUCCAGGAAAAGCCUCUAAGCAUCAGGUAACACGAAAUCGUACCCCAAACCGACACAGGUGGUCAGGUAGAGAAUACCAAGGCGCUUGAGAGAACUCGGGUGAAGGAACUAGGCAAAAUGGUGCCGUAACUUCGGGAGAAGGCACGCUGACACGUAGGUGAAGUGAUUUACUCAUGGAGCUGAAGUCAGUCGAAGAUACCAGCUGGCUGCAACUGUUUAUUAAAAACACAGCACUGUGCAAACACGAAAGUGGACGUAUACGGUGUGACGCCUGCCCGGUGCCGGAAGGUUAAUUGAUGGGGUCA